UCAACGCGGGGAACCCUACCAGACACGGACACCGGAAGGAUUGACAGAUUGAGAGCUCUUUCUCGAUUCGUUGGGUGGUGGUGCAUGGACAUUCUUAGUUGGUGGAGCGAUUUGUCUGGUUAAUUCCAAUAACGAACGAGAGACUGGCCUACUAACUAGUCUUUGGGUUGUCUUGUACCGGCUUCGGUCAGUCGCCCGUCGCAACUUCCUCUUAGAGGGAUCCGCAUCAUCUAGACGCAAGAGACUGAGCAAUAA
rnacentral:rRNA from 1 species